AACGAACGCUGGCGGCAUGCCUAACACAUGCAAGUCGAACGGGAUCCUGGUUUCGGCCAGGUGAGAGUGGCGGACGGGUGAGUAACGCGUGGGAACCUGCCCAGUGGUGGGGGAUAACUGCGGGAAACUGCAGCUAAUACCGCAUGAGCCCGAAAGGGGAAAGAUUGAUCGCCAUUGGAGGGGCCCGCGUUCGAUUAGGUAGUUGGUGAGGUAACGGCUCACCAAGCCUUCGANCGAUAGCUGGUCUGAGAGGAUGAUCAGCCACACUGGGACUGAGAUACGGCCCAGACUCCUACGGGAGGCAGCAGUGGGGAAUAUUGGACAAUGGGGGCAACCCUGAUCCAGCAAUGCCGCGUGAGUGAUGAAGGCCUUCGGUUGGUAAG
rnacentral:rRNA from 1 species